AAACACAAACACACACACACACACAUACACAUACACACACACCCUGGAGAGGCGCGUAACAACAGAGCUGCUUACCGUACACCAACCAAUCUCAGAACAUCAUGGACCAUAAGGAAGGAGGUUUUUCCGCCCUGCUGGCAUGCACCCCAGCAGAGUUGGAGCGGCAGUCCUGUCAGACAACAUCCCCAGGAUGCUGCACACCAUCUGACUGGCUUGUUCCUCCAGGACCCAUGCAUGAUAAAUCCCUUCAGAAAUAUCGCCACCUGUUCCCAUGAUAGAUGAAUCUCAAGAUUAUGCCACGAAAGCUGUUUUGAGCUCCUACAGGACAAUAUGAAACCUAUAAUCUUUCAUAGGCUGGGAGUGUUUUGGUCUUGAGGGGAGGAGGACAGGUGUAGCUGAUUAGUAUCUAUCUAUCUAUCUAUCUAUCUAUCUAUCUAUCUAUCUAUCUAUCUAUCUAUCUAUCUAUCUAUCUAUCUAUCUAUCUAUCUAUCUAUCUAUCUAUUUAUCUAUCUAAUAUAGAGAGAAUUUAUUCAAUUAUGGUUUUCAUUCCAUUACAAAAAACAGUUGCUGAAAUUAUACUUAAACCCCUGAGGCAGCUUUUAUAUUGAUUUGGACACUGAGUCACUUUUGAAAGAUUGGACAAAAUAAAUCAAAGACCUGUUUGUCAGUAGUGAAUUGAAUCAUCAGCUUAAUAGAAUCUGUCACAAAUCAUGCUUUUCUCCCCAUCCCGCAUGUUGUGUUCAUAUGGGCAUUGUUGUAUACAAAUGGUAUGCUGUGUAAAUUCAGUGGAUAUGUCAUGGAUAGACCAAGCUUCAGAAACCGGGAGUAAUACUGAAUGUUCUUUAUUGUCCACAAAUACACACACAAGAGUUUAAGAAAUGACUGAAGCAAAAUGGCACAAUUAACUGAGUGCUCCUUAGAAGCGUAGCCUGGAGCAUGAAACCAUGGAAGCUCAGGGAACAUAAAAGCCUGGAUGUAUGGACGCAUAGACGCAUGGGGCACCAGAGAGGUCCAGUUGAUCAAUGGUUCUCUGACAGCUGUACAAUGAACAUGUUUUUGUAAUUUACAAAUCUCAUAAACUUAUUUUUUGUUUACAAUAGAAUAUAGAUAACAUAUCAAGUGUUAAAAGUGAGACAUUUUGAAAUGUCAUGCCAAAUAUUGGCUCAUUUUGGA